rnacentral:other from 1 species
CGCCUCCUGCAGUGUUCGACGCAGGCCUGGAAGUCUUUCGACCCUAAUUCACGAUAUUGGGGUUGUGCCCUGUCGGCAGUCUUGUGCAAAUCCGCCUCGAGCGGCAAGCCUGCGCUGCCACGGCUUACCCCACCUUCCGCUCUGGUUCGAGAGUGAUGGUCUGCGACGGCACAGGCGGGAGGCGC